rnacentral:rRNA from 1 species
UGGGGAAUUUUGGACAAUGGGGGCAACCCUGAUCCAGCAAUGCCGCGUGAGUGAAGAAGGCCUUCGGGUUGUAAAGCUCUUUUGUCAGGGAAGAAACGAUCCUCUCUAAUACAGGGGAUUAAUGACGGUACCUGAAGAAUAAGCACCGGCUAACUACGUGCCAGCAGCCGCGGUAAUACGUAGGGUGCAAGCGUUAAUCGGAAUUACUGGGCGUAAAGCGUGCGCAGGCGGUUUUGUAAGACUGUCGUGAAAUCCCCGGGCUUAACCUGGGAAUGGCGAUGGUGACUGCAAGGCUAGAGUUUGGCAGAGGUGGGUAGAAUUCCACGUGUAGCAGUGAAAUGCGUAGAGAUGUGGAGGAACACCGAUGGCGAAGGCAGCCCCCUGG